GCCCGCCUAGCUCAAUCGGCCAGAGCGUCAGACUUUUACGGCUUGGUGUCGCAAUCUGAAGGCUGCGAGUUCGACCCUCGCGGUGGGCU